GCACUGCUGAUGAGUCCCAUAAUAGGACGAAACGGCCGUCCAGUGC
rfam:Schistosoma rodhaini strain Burundi genome assembly, scaffold: SROB_scaffold0003133